GCGGUCGUAGCUCAGCAGGAUAGAGCGACGGAUUCCUAAUCCGUAGGCCGUGGGUUCGAAUCCCGCCGAUCGCA
rnacentral:tRNA from 1 species